rnacentral:tRNA from 1 species
GCCUGGCUGGCUCAGUACAUAGAGCAUGAAACUUCUGAUCUCAGAGUCAUGAAUUCAAGCCCCAUGUUGGGCA